AGGUUGGCUCAGAAGCAGCCAUCCUUUAAAGAGUGCGUAACAGCUCACUAGUCGAGUGACCCUGCGCCGAAAAUGUACCGGGGCUAAGCCUGAUACCGAAACUGCGGAUUGUAGGAAACUAUAGUGGUAGGGGAGCGUUGUAUACGAGUAGAAGCCGUACCGUGAGGAGCGGUGGAUUGUAUAGAAGUGAGAAUGCCGGUGUGAGUAGCGAGAUGUAGGUGAGAAUCCUACACACCGAAAGCCCAAGGAUUCCAGGGGAAGGUUCGUCCGCCCUGGGUAAGUCGGGACCUAACGCGAGGCCGAAAGGCGUAGUGGAUGGAAAGCAGGCGAAAGAUUCCUGCACCCGUAUAUGGAGCGAAGGAGUGACGGAGACGGAUAGUGUGACCCUCUUAAUGGAUUGAGGGCGAAGCGAAGCGGCUGGUUACCAGGCAAAUCCGGUAACCUUAAGGCUAGAGCGUGACAGGCAAGCGAAAUCUAAGGAAAGUAGCGAAGCACAUGAUGACGGCUUCCAGGAAAAGCUUCUGGCAAUGCAUAUGCGGCCCGUACCAAAACCGACACAGGUGGGCAGGGAGAGAAUCCCGAGGUGAGCGAGAGAACUGUUGCCAAGGAACUCGGCAAAAUGACUCCGUAAGUUAGCGAGAAGGAGUGCUUAAGCAAUUAAGCCGCAGUGAAGAGGCCCAAGCGACUGUUUAACUAAAACACAGCUCUCUGCGAAGUCGCAAGACGAAGUAUAGGGGGUGACACCUGCCCGGUGCUGGAAGGUUAAGAGGAUCUGUUAAGAGCGAUCUGAAGCAGUGAUCCGAAGCCCCAGUGAACGGCGGCCGUAACUAUAACGGUCCUAAGGUAGCGAAAUUCCUUGUCAGGUAAGUUCUGACCCGCACGAAAGGUGUAACGAUUUGGGCGCUGUCUCGGCAGCAGACUCGGUGAAAUCUUAGUACCUGUGAAAAUGCAGGUUACCCGCAACUAGACGGAAAGACCCCAUGGAGCUUUACUGCAGCCUGAUAUUGAAUUCUGGUCAUACAUGUACAGGAUAGGUGGGAGACAAAGAGACGUGCACGCCAGUGUACGAGGAGUCGUCGUUGGGAUACCACUCUUGUGUGACCGGGGUUCUAACCUGGUAUCGAUAACAGGUACGGGGAGAGUGUCAGGUGGGCAGUUUGACUGGGGCGGUCGCCUCCCAAAGAGUAACGGAGGCGCCCAAAGGUACGCUCAGAUUGGAUGGAAACCAAUCGACGAGUGCAAUUGCAGAAGCGUGCUUGACUGUGAGACUUACAAGUCGAACAGGGACGAAAGUCGGGAAUAGUGAUCCGGCGGUGCCGAAUGGAAGGGCCGUCGCUCAACGGAUAAAAGCUACCCUGGGGAUAACAGGCUGAUCUCGCCCAAGAGUUCACAUCGACGGCGAGGUUUGGCACCUCGAUGUCGGCUCAUCGCAUCCUGGAGCUGGAUUCGGUUCCAAGGGUUGGGCUGUUCGCCCAUUAAAGCGGUACGCGAGCUGGGUUCAGAACGUCGUGAGACAGUUCGGUCCCUAUCUGUUGUGGGCGAAGGAGAUCUGCGGAGAGCUGUCCUCAGUACGAGAGGACCGGGAUGGACCUACCGCUGGUGCACCGGUUGUUCCGCCAGGGGCAUAGCCGGGUAGCUAAGUAGGGAAAGGAUAAGCGCUGAAAGCAUCUAAGCACGAAGCCUACUCCAAGAUGAGAUCUCCCAUUCGCAAGAAGUAAGACCCCUUAAAGACGAUAAGGUAGAUAGGCCAGGGAUGGAAGUGCAGUGAUGUACGGAGUUGACUGGUACUAAUCGGUCGAGGACUUAAUCAG
rnacentral:rRNA from 1 species